GAUGAACGCUGGCGGCGUGCCUAAUACAUGCAAGUCGAGCGAACAGACGAGGAGCUUGCUCCUCUGACGUUAGCGGCGGACGGGUGAGUAACACGUGGAUAACCUACCUAUAAGACUGGGAUAACUUCGGGAAACCGGAGCUAAUACCGGAUAAUAUAUUGAACCGCAUGGUUCAAUAGUGAAAGACGGUUUUGCUGUCACUUAUAGAUGGAUCCGCGCCGCAUUAGCUAGUUGGUAAGGUAACGGCUUACCAAGGCGACGAUGCGUAGCCGACCUGAGAGGGUGAUCGGCCACACUGGAACUGAGACACGGUCCAGACUCCUAAGGGAGGCAGCAGUAGGGAAUCUUCCGCAAUGGGCGAAAGCCUGACGGAGCAACGCCCGUGAGUGAUGAAGGUCUUCGGAUCGUAAAACUCUGUUAUUAGGGAAGAACAAAUGUGUAAGUAACUAUGCACGUCUUGACGGUACCUAAUCAGAAAGCCACGGCUAACUACGUG
rnacentral:rRNA from 1 species